rnacentral:lncRNA from 1 species
CAGGGCCCUGUAACAGGAGCCUCGUCACACACUCCUGAAGAGGUAGAUGCUGAGAAGAAAACAUCCAUGAACUGGAUACUAAGCGUGCAACUAACAGCUCAGAGUUCCAAGUCUCUGAGUUCAUUCUGCUGGGAUUCCCAGGCAUUCAUGAAUUCCAGAUCUGGCUGUCCUUGCCUAUGGCUCUGCUUUACAUUGUAGCUCUUGGUGCUAAUCUCCUUAUCUUGAUCACCAUCUACCUUGAGCCUACCCUGCAUCAGCCAAUGUAUCAGUUUCUUGGGAUCUUGGCUGCAGUAGAUAUUGGCUUGGCUACCACCAGCAUGCCCAAAAUACUGGCCAUCUUGUGGUUUGAUGCCAAGACCAUCAGCCUCCCUGAGUGUUUUGCUCAGAUCUAUGCUAUCCACACUUUUAUGUGCAUGGAGUCAGGCGUCUUCCUAUGCAUGGCAAUAGAUAGAUAUGUAGCCAUUUGUUAUCCCCUCCAAUAUCCUUCCAUAGUCACUGAAGCUUUUGUAAUCAAGGCCACACUGUCCAUGCUGCUCAGGAAUGGCCUGUUAACCAUCCCAGUGCCUGUACUAGCUGCCCAGAGACAAUACUGCUCCAGGAAUGAAAUAGAUCACUGCCUUUGCUCUAACUUGGGGGUCAUUAGUCUGGCCUGUGAUGAUAUCACUGUUAACAGAUUCUACCAGUUGGCAUUGGCCUGGCUUGUGGUAGGAAGUGACAUGAUUCUGGUCUAUGCUUCUUACGCUUUGAUUAUUCGCUCAGUGCUGAGGCUGAACUCCACUGAGGCAGCAUCUAAGGCCCUCAGCACCUGCAGCUCCCACCUCAUCCUCAUUAUGUUUUACUACACAGCUAUUGUUAUAGUAUCUGUUACUCACCUAGCAGGAAGAAGGGUUCCCCUCAUCCCUGUUCUCCUCAAUGUGAUGCAUAUUGUCAUCCCUCCAUCCCUUAACCCCAUGGUAUAUGCCCUUAGGACACAGGAGCUGAAGGUGGGCUUCCGGAAGGUUUUU